GGCAGUGGCCGCGGCGCGGAGCUCCCGCCGUGGCCGGCGCUGCCCGCAGAGCCGCCGGCGCGGUGCGCGGAUCCUCCGCGGGUGCGGUGUGCUGGGGUUAAUGGCAGAGCAUCGCGCGCGGCAAAUGGUGCCCAAAGACGCGGGGAAGGUUGUCAGCCCUCUCGGGGAGCCGGCAGGCUAAAAUUAGAUAAGCGGAGAGAGUUUAGGGGAAACAACAAUGAAAAAGUACAUUCGAGGCAGCCUGAUUCACUGUGUCCGGGGCGGUACAAAUACGUCUUUAAAAGGGAUUUAUUUGAAUGUAGACAGGCACUUACUCAUAGGGCUAGUGCCACUGACCACUGCCUUGGAGGGGACGGCGCGCAUGAAGGUUGGAAAAUCGGAUCAUAGCUCCACGCAGGAUAUCCAUAGAAACGGAGAUUAAAAGGAUGAAAUAACUUAUUUUGUUCUAAACAAUAACGUUGCUAUAAAUACGAACGUUUUCCUUGUUCCCUUCCUGAAAAGCACAGAACAUUUUACCAGGCUCAUCUUUUAACAAAACAAACCGGCGUACACAAACAGUCUGCAAAUACGUUAGCCCCCAAGAAAGCAUUCCUUAUUUCCUUACUGGGAAAUGGGCAAAAACACAGUCUGUACCUGUCCCCUUUGAAAUCAAUAAGCUGCAUGGUAUUUUUCCAAAUACAGCUACUUUCACUGUUUUGCACUUCAUCUGUAAAAGGAAAAUAUAUCUUCCUCUGGGUAAGUGAGUGAUUGUAGAUUUUUUUUCUCAAAUUGUAUUUGAUCAUCAAGUGAAUUUAGUGCUCACUCAAGUCAGUGGGUUGACUACUUGAAAAUGGCUCUGUCUAUCUUUUGAGAAGUUACAGCAGAGACAGCGGCAGAGCAAUUGCUACAGAUUAUUUCCCAAUCUGCUGGUGUCCUCGUUUGGAGGAGCACCAUUAUUUCAGCCUCCAUUUCCACUUUUUGCUGAGGCUGCUGCUUACAAAGAUGCUAAUUGUGAUGGCGGGUUUUAUGUUAAUGGUUCCACGUAAGGAUCAGCCCGACAACUAUAGACCUUCAAAUUGUUAGUUGGCUGUACUGGGAAUAAAACUAAUGGCAUUUCGUUAUGAGAAUGUCAGGCCUCCACCUGGGGAACUAGAUUGGGCGCUCAACGAGACCGAAAUCCAAGAGCCUCCGCACCAUGGCACGUGUGGCUGUCGUGGGGCUGGACCCAGGGGUGCCUUUUGAGAAGGAAACCCCUUUUCCUCCAGAAUUGCCACGCUUUGAGGGAGAGCGGCUCUUUGCUGGGGCGGUGGCUGCGUGUCCGCGGCUGGAAUGACGGUGGGGAGGUGUGGGGUGCCCGGCCGGCGUCCCCCCUGCUCCAGCGAGAGGGUGUCGGGUGCUGCUGAGCAACAGCCAUCUGCAGGGAUGGAGCUGCGCGAGCCUCCAAAUUCUGACUAACAACGUAACCGGUUUGGUAGCUCUAAAAUAGGAUUUUAAUCCUGGGAAGCAUCAUUUCACAUUCCAGUGAUCUAAUCAAAAUCCUUUCCUCUAAUCUCUCCAUGGUCCCCCCUUUCUAGAUGAAAGAGGCUGGAGUUCCUGUCUUCACCCUUUCUCCGCUGCCUCCCUGUUCUACCAGUCUGUUCUGUGUCCAGGCAACUGCAAAAAGACAUUUCAAAGACUCCUGCCGUGCCGUGUAGAUGUUUUCUCUUGUUAGUUUGGACUGCAGGAUCAAGUCCCUUAUUUGCCAUUUUGUGUGGCAGCAAGCCCAAGGAAAUCUUGCUUGACAGCUCUGUUUUCUCAAAGUGCUGCAUUUCUUCAGGCUGGAUUCUGCAAAGAUCCUGCAGGGUACAGAGCUCCUUGGAGCAAGCGAUAAUUUGCUUUGUGUUCCUGCUGAAAUGUACCCAUGUAAGAUGGAAGAAGGAUCUUGGAAAAUUUGGUGCACCCUGGCAGGAAGACGGUUAGAAUAAAGUUUCCUUGGAUUAUUA